GACGAACGCUGGCGGCGUGCUUAACACAUGCAAGUCGAACGAUGAUGCUCCAGCUUGCUGGGGUGGAUUAGUGGCGAACGGGUGAGUAACACGUGAGUAACCUGCCCCCUUCUUCGGGAUAAGCUUGGGAAACUGGGUCUAAUACUGGAUAUUCUGCAAUUGUCGCUUGGUGGUUGUGGGAAAGAUUUUUUGGUGGGGGAUGGGCUCGCGGCCUAUCAGCUUGUUGGUGGGGUGAUGGCCUACCAAGGCGUCGACGGGUAGCCGGCCUGAGAGGGUGACCGGCCAGACUGGGACUGAGAUACGGCCCAGAAUCCUACGGGAGGCAGCAGUGGGGAAUAUUGCACAAUGGGCGCAAGCUUGAUGCAGCGACGCCGCGUGAGGGAUGACGGCUUUCGGGUUGUAAACCUCUUUCGAUGGGGAACAAGGCCAUAUUGUUGUGUGGUUGAGGGUACCUGUAUAAGAAGCGCCGGCUAACUACGUG
rnacentral:rRNA from 1 species